GUUUCUGUAGUGUAGUGGUUAUCAUGUUUAUCUAACACGCAAAAGGUCCCUGGUUCAACACCAUGCAGAAAUA